UACGUAGGGUGCAAGCGUUAAUCGGAAUUACUGGGCGUAAAGCGUGCGCAGGCGGUUUUGUAAGUUUGUCGUGAAAUCCCCGGGCUCAACCUGGGAAUGGCGAUGAAGACUGCAAGGCUAGAAUCUGGCAGAGGGGGGUAGAAUUCCACGUGUAGCAGUGAAAUGCGUAGAGAUGUGGAGGAACACCGAUGGCGAAGGCAGCCUCCUGGGCCAGCACUGACGCUCAUGCACGAAAGCGUGGGGAGCAAACAGG
rnacentral:rRNA from 1 species